rnacentral:rRNA from 1 species
UGGGGAAUUUUGGACAAUGGGGGAAACCCUGAUCCAGCCAUCCCGCGUGUGCGAUGAAGGCCUUCGGGUUGUAAAGCACUUUUGGCAGGAAAGAAACGUCGCGGGUUAAUACCCCGCGAAACUGACGGUACCUGCAGAAUAAGCACCGGCUAACUACGUGCCAGCAGCCGCGGUAAUACGUAGGGUGCAAGCGUUAAUCGGAAUUACUGGGCGUAAAGCGUGCGCAGGCGGUUCGGAAAGAAAGAUGUGAAAUCCCAGAGCUUAACUUUGGAACUGCAUUUUUAACUACCGGGCUAGAGUGUGUUAGAGGGAGGUGGAAUUCCGCGUGUAGCAGUGAAAUGCGUAGAUAUGCGGAGGAACACCGAUGGCGAAGGCAGCCUCCUGGGAUAACACUGACGCUCAUGCACGAAAGCGUGGGGAGCAAACAGGAUUAGAUACCCUGGUAGUCCACGCCCUAAACGAUGUCAACUAGCUGUUGGGGCCUUCGGGCCUUGGUAGCGCAGCUAACGCGCGAAGUUGACCGCCUGGGGAGUACGGUCGCAAGAUUAAAACUCAAAUGAAUUGAC